ACCCUCGCCCUUUGUUGCCAUCGGGUAAAGCCGGGCACUCUAAGGGGACUGCCAGCGACAAGUUGGAGGAAGGAGAGGAUGACGUCAAGUCAUCAUGGCCUUUAUGCCUAGGGCCACACACGUGCAACAAUGGCCGGUACAGACGGAGGCAAUGCCGAGAGGCGGAGCAAACCCGAGAAAACCGGUCCCAGUUCGGAUUGAGGUCUGCAACUCGACCUCAUGAAGUCGGAAUCGCUAGUAAUCGCAUAUCAGAACGAUGCGGUGAAUACGUUCCCGGGCCUUGUACACACCGCCCGUCACACCACGAAAGUUUGUUGUACCCGAAGUCGGUGCCUUAACCUCGCAAGAGGAGAGAGCCGCCCAAGGUAU
rnacentral:rRNA from 1 species